rnacentral:piRNA from 1 species
UCGUUCACAGUGGUCAAGACUUCUUGAGA